UCGGGUUUCCCACCACCUCCAAAUCAUGGAAGAGUUCAGGCAGAGCCCGCGGAGCCAUGGCCAGCCCUUCCAGCAGCUCCGAAGCCACUGGCAAGCCCCGAGGCAGGGAUGGCAGUCCCAGGAUGGGGGAGGAGGACGUCCCUCCCGAAGAGAAGAGGCUGGGGCUGUAGCUGGAGGGGGGAAGCGCACAGCCCGAGGACUGCGAGGACGGGGAGGACCC
rnacentral:lncRNA from 1 species